GCCGGCCUAGCUCAACUGGUAGAGCAACUGACUUGUAAUCAGUAGGUUGGGGGUUCGAGUCCUCUGGCCGGCA
rnacentral:tRNA from 1 species